rnacentral:rRNA from 1 species
UACGGAGGGUGCGAGCGUUGUCCGGAUUUAUUGGGCGUAAAGAGCUCGUAGGCGGUUUGUCGCGUCUGCUGUGAAAAUCCAGGGCUUAACCCUGGACCUGCAGUGGGUACGGGCAGACUAGAGUGCGGUAGGGGAGAUCGGAAUUCCUGGUGUAGCGGUGGAAUGCGCAGAUAUCAGGAGGAACACCGAUGGCGAAGGCAGUUCUCUGGGCCGUAACUGACGCUGAGGAGCGAAAGCGUGGGGAGCGAACAGG